GAUGAACGCUAGCGGGAGGCCUAACACAUGCAAGCCGAGCGGGAUUUGUUGGUUAGCUUGCUAACUAACAAUGAGAGCGGCGUACGGGUGCGUAGCACGUGUGCAACCUGCCUUUAUCUGGGGGAUAGCCUUUCGAAAGGAAGAUUAAUACCCCAUAACAUAUUGAUUGGCAUCAGUUAAUAUUGAAAGCUCCGGCGGAUAGAGAUGGGCACGCGUAAGAUUAGCUAGUUGGUGAGGUAACGGCUCACCAAGGCUGCGAUCUUUAGGGGGCCUGAGAGGGUGAUCCCCCACACUGGUACUGAGACACGGACCAGACUCCUACGGGAGGCAGCAGUGAGGAAUAUUGGACAAUGGGUGAGAGCCUGAUCCAGCCAUCCCGCGUGAAGGACUAAGGACCUAUGGGUUGUAAACUUCUUUUAUACAGGGAUAAACCUACUCUCGUGAGGGUAGCUGAAGGUACUGGAUGAAUAAGCACCGGCUAACUCCGUG
rnacentral:rRNA from 1 species